UACGGGGGGAGCAAGCGUUGUUCGGAUUUACUGGGCGUAAAGGGCGCGUAGGCGGCCACCGCAAGUCGACUGUGAAAUCUCCGGGCUUAACCCGGAAAGGUCAGCCGAUACUGCGGGGCUAGAGUGCAGAAGGGGCAACUGGAAUUCUCGGUGUAGCGGUGAAAUGCGUAGAUAUCGCGUGGAACGCCAACGGUGAAAACAGGUUGCUGGGGGUGUGCUGACGCUGAGACACGAAAGCCAGGGGAGCGAACGGG
rnacentral:rRNA from 1 species